GUGGUCAAUGCUUGAAGUCCGCCGGCUAACGGGCAACCGAGGCAGCGGCCGAGGGCAGGGAUCGCGACUGGGACGAGUCGUAACAAGGUAGCCCGUAGCGGAAGCUGCGGCUGGAUCACCUCCUUUCUAGGG
rnacentral:rRNA from 1 species